GACGAACGCUGGCGGCGUGCUUAAUACAUGCAAGUCAACUAAGCCUUUUGCAGCAAUGUAAAAGAUUUGGUGGCGCACGGGUGAGUAUAACGUAGGCAAUCUACCAAAAGGUCUGACACAACCUGCCGAAAGGCAGGCUAAUAUCAGAUGAUACAAAAAGCAGGCAUCUGUUUUUUAUCAAAGCUUCGGCGCCUUUUGUAUGAGCCUACGCCCCAUUAGANAGUUGGCGGGGUAAUAGCCCACCAAGUCUACGAUGGGUAACUGGUCUGAGAGGAUGAUCAGUCACACUGGAACUGAGACACGGUCCAGACUCCUACGGGAGGCAGCAGUAAGGAAUAUUGCUCAAUGGCCGAAAGGCUGAAGCAGCAACGCCGCGUGAAGGAUGAAAU
rnacentral:rRNA from 1 species